rnacentral:rRNA from 1 species
GAUAAACGCUGGCGGCGUGCAUGAGACAUGCAAGUCGAACGGGUGACUCGGGCUUGCUCGAGUCGCUAGUGGCGAACGGCUGAGUAACGCGUAGGUGACCUGCCCCGAAGUGGGGAAUAACUGCCCGAAAGGGUGGCUAAUACCGCAUGUGGUCGCACGUUCACUCGUGCGAGUAAAGACGCAAGGCGCCUCGGGAGGGGCCUGCGUCCGAUUAGCUCGUUGGUGGGGUAAUGGCUCACCAAGGCGACGAUCGGUAGGUGGUCUGAGAGGACGAUCACCCAGACUGGGACUGAGACACGGCCCAGACUCCUACGGGAGGCAGCAGUCGGGAAUUUUGCUCAAUGGGCGAAAGCCUGAAGCAGCAACGCCGCGUGAGGGAUGAAGGCCUUCGGGUCGUAAACCUCUUUUUUCAGGGACGAUGAUGACGGUACCUGGAGAAGAAGCCACGGCAAACUACGUGCCAGCCGCCGCAGUAAUAC